UUCCCUUCCCACCUUGCCCUCAUCCCUUCCCAGUCCCUUUGGUCACCUCCUGCCCUCUGACCCUCAGCCUUUUUCUCCAGUUCUUUCAACAGUGGCGCUCCUCUCUGAACCCCCAGUACCCUUUCCCUUUAGGACGCUCCUGUGACCCUCUGCCCCUCCAGACCUCAACUCGAUCUUGGCCUCACCUGGAACACGUGGAAGCCCACAGUGAGGCUCCAGCAGCGUCAGCCGGAACUGCGGAUUGGUCCAGAAGGUUUCUAACAAAAGAGAAGGAGGUGGAGUUCCCAGUCUGCCCAAGCCGCGACCUCAGCUUACUUCUUAGGGGCCCCCAGUCCUCACCAGCACUGGGCUGGCUCCCGCCGGAGUUGAAACCUUUCACCCAGCGGCCCUGGAAGAUGUGGAUGUGCCAGCCUCCGCCAGCAGGCCUAGGGCCUAGCACCUCGGGGCUCAGUGAGCAGAUCUGGACCGUGUUGAAGCGAGUGAGGAAGUCCUGAAGCUCCAUCCUGGACGGGGCACAGCGUGAGAGAUGCCCGGCCACCCCAGAGCCCCGCUGAGGGUCCCCUGAAGUGGUCCCCCACCACAGAGCUCCCAGUUCCCUAAGAACUGCCAAUUAACCUCCAACCUCCAGAAACUCUGAAGCCUUGAGGCCUCGCCAAGGCAUCCAAGUCCUCACAGAUACCCACCCCACUUCUGAGGAUAUUCACAAACUCCCCUCAAAUAUCUUCACAUUAACUUUAGAAAAUCCUCCAGGAAGAUGGCGGAGGCAAUGAAAGCUAUUGUGACAGAAGCCUGAUGCUGCGGAAUAUGAAACUGUGUAAAGUGUGUUAUACUUGUUUCCCUGCUUUUGUUAAUGAUGCAAAGACAUACUACGUUUAUUUGAUUAAAUCAAAUUAACCUGGG